rnacentral:rRNA from 1 species
AGAAUCAACGCUGGCGGCGUGCCUAACACAUGCAAGUCGAACGAGAAAGUGGAGCAAUCCAUGAGUAAAGUGGCGCACGGGUGAGUAACACGUGACUAACCUACCCUUGAGUGGGGAAUAACUGAGGGAAACCUUAGCUAAUACCGCAUAAUACCUACGGGUCAAGGAGCAAUUCGCUUAAGGAGGGGGUCGGCGGCAGAUUAGCUAGUUGGCGGGGUAAGUGGCCCACCAAGGCAGUGAUCUGUA